ensembl:lncRNA
GAAAUCUACCUCCUGUAGACCUUUGAUAUACGAGAGAGACGCACGUACAUUUACUCUGGGAAAAUAAAACAAUGGUGAAUUAAUUAUCAAACUUAAAUUUUAAUUUAGAAUUUUUAAGAGAACACCUCACAAGAGGCUGAAAUAAAAAUCAAUGAUUACAGAGAAGCUCUGCACCGCAAAAUUAAAACCUCAAGUUUAUUUGUUUUUGACCUUUUGUAGAUGGUGAAACUGAGACCCAGAACAGUUAAGUACCUAAGGCCAAACAUGUAAACCGAUGCUUGUAAAAUCAGUUUCAUGAGACGGUAACCACAUCCCUUAUUUUCAGCCUUCUAUUAUGUGCACUGAGGACUGUUUAGGCUGAGGAUUUAUCAUUGCAUCUCUACGUGAACUAAUCAUGAUCAGUGUUAUCCCACAUCUGAGUGUGUGAGGACAGUCAAUACUCAAGAUAUCAACAAUACUGUUGACUGGAUGGAAAAUUUUGUGAAAGAGAACAAUUUACACCUUCACAGUGGAAGGUUGAGACUUCUCAUUAUCUCUCAAAAUUCUCUAUACAGAUGGGUGAAAAAUGCAUUUGUUAAUAUUGCCUCCUGUCCCUUUGGUGAAAUUUACUAAAGAUACAAUUACAAACAAAGCAAAUCACUCGCACUAAGCCUUAUAUUCAUUUGGUUUUUUUCAGUGACCGACCAAUGUAUCUUUCCAUUUAUUUAAACACAUCACUUGCCUGCAGAAAGCCUGUUGACAGACACUAUUACAUUUGGAGCAACGGGGUAUUAUAUUUUCUGAAUUUUUCAAGUUUGAAGAAUUUCCAGAAAUGGCCAACUAUAACCACUUGACAGUGUGCUCAGAUAUUAAAUUCUUGGGGAAAGGAAAAGGUUUUGCCUGAGGUCUCGGAAUGCCUAUGCUAUUGUAAGCCUGCGUGAAAUCCUGGCCACAAGCCCCCGCUCACAUCCAGGUUGUGUACCUGCUGGGUCAGAGUCACAGGUCAGUGAUCACUCUAACCACCACUCAGAUUCUAGGUCAGCAAAGUGGAAAACCUAUCAUUCCUUUCAGCCUUCGGAAUCAGUUUGCAUUUUUCCCUUUCUUUCUAACACCAACUUUCUACUUUUCUCCUUAUAGGAGUAGUCUGUGGGUCCAAGCAUUGUGCAUUUGUUCAGUUCACUUGUUUCUUCCUUUGCUGCUGACUUACUUUUGAAAUGUAAUAUAUAUCAAAUAAGGGAGCAUUUGCAUCCACGUCCAGGAAAGAUGAAAAAGAUUGGGGUGGGAAGAGUUAAAGCUCACGGAGAAAGAUAACUAUGUUAUUUAUUUAUUUAUUUAUUUAUUUAUUUAUUUAUUAUUUAUUUUGAGAGAGAGAUGGGGUCUUGCUCUGUCGCUCAGGCUGAAGUGGGUGGUGCAAUCAUAGGUCACUGCAACCUCAAACUCCUAGUCUCAAGCAAUACCCCUGUCUCAGCCUCCUGAGAAGCUGAGACUACAGGUGUGUACCACCACACUAGGCUAAACUACAUAAAAAUUAAAUAUGAGAAAUAGUUACCUAUGCAAAGGAUUUGCAUAGGCCGCCUCAACAUUGUUUCAAUUCUAAAGUACUCUAAAGCUGCCAAGAAAUUCCUACUUUAGUUGAUU